UCCUAAAAAGCUAGCCCAGCCCUUAAAGAAACAACCCCCUCUAAAUUAAAUUACCCAUGAAACAAAUAACAAACCAUUUUACCUCCCUAGUACCCGGGCGACAGAAAAGGAAAAUUGGAGCAAUAGAAAAAGUACCGCAAGGGAAAGCUGAAAGAGAAGUGAAACAACUACCCCAAGCUACCAAAAGCAGAGAUAACCCCUCGUACCUUUUGCAUCAUGACCUAGCCAGUAUGCCUGAGCACAGAGAACUUUAGUUCAGCCCCCCGAAACUAGACGAGCUACUUCAAGACAGCCUAUGUUGGGCACACCCGUCUCUGUUGCAAAAGAGUGGGACGAUCUUCAAGUAGAGGUGACAAACCUAUCGAGCCUAGUCAUAGCUGGUUGUCUGAGAAGUGUAUAUAAGUGCAGCCUCCCGACACCCCCCAUCCAAGACAUCCAUGUCCCCCAAGACUAAGGGUGACCGGGAGAGUUAGUCAAAGAGGGUACAGCCCCUUUGAAAAAGGACACAACCUCUCCGGGCGACAAAAGAUCAUAAUUAACCCAAGGAAACUUGUUUUAGUGGGCCUAAAAGCAGCCACCUAUAAAGAAAGCGUUAAAGCUCAUACAGACUCCUGCCCCCAAUACUGAACAUAACUCUUUACUCCCCCUCCACUAUCAGACCCUCCCACAAACCCUGGGAAAGACCCUGCUAGGAUGAGUAAUAAGAGGGGCCGCCCCUCUCCCCACAUACGUGUACAUCGGAACGGACCCUCCGCCGAUAAUCAACGAUCCGCCCGCCCGAGGGGAAUGUAGUACUGCCUAAAUAGCAAGAAAACCCGACACAAUAAAUCGUUAACCCAACACAGGUAUGUAUGCCCGGAAAGACUUAAUCAAAGGGAAGGAACUCGGCAAACACAAGCCUCGCCUGUUUACCAAAAACAUCGCCUCUUGCAAAACGAACGAAUAAGAGGUCCCGCCUGCCCAGUGACUAUAUGUUAAACGGCCGCGGUAUUUUGACCGUGCGAAGGUAGCGCAAUCACUUGUCUCUUAAAUGGAGACCUGUAUGAAAGGCAUCACGAGGGCUUAACUGUCUCCCCUUUAAAGUCAAUGAAAUUGAUCUCCCCGUGCAGAAGCGGGGAUACACUCGUAAGACGAGAAGACCCUAUGGAGCUUAAGAUACAAGGCGACUCAUGUCAAUCACCCGCUAAAGGAAAUGAACAAGAUGAACUCCGCUGGAAUGUCUUCGGUUGGGGCGACCGCGGGGAAAUACAAAACCCCCACAUGGACCAGGGUUACUACAACCCUAAAACCUAGACCCACAGGUCAAAUCAACAGUAUUUCUGACCAUCAAAGAUCCGGCAAUGCCGAUCGACGGACCAAGUUACCCUAGGGAUAACAGCGCAAUCCCCUCCUAGAGCCCUUAUCAACGAGAGGGUUUACGACCUCGAUGUUGGAUCAGGACAUCCUAAUGGUGCAGCCGCUAUUCAGGGUUCGUUUGUUCAACGAUUAACAGUCCUACGCGAUCUGAGUUCAGACCGGAGAAAUCCAGGUCAGUUUCUAUCUACGCAUUGAUUUUUUCUAGUACGAAAGGACCGAAAAGAAGAGGCCUAUGUCAAUGGCACGCCUCACCCUCUACUAAUGAAUACAAAUAAAAUAGCAGGAGGGCAAAAUGCCACGCCCAAAAGCAGGGCUA
rnacentral:rRNA from 1 species